UACAGAGGGGGCAAGCGUUGUUCGGAAUUACUGGGCGUAAAGGGCGCGUAGGCGGCCUGUUAAGUCGAACGUGAAAUCCCCCGGGCUCAACCCCGGGAACUGCGUCCGAUACUGGCAGGCUUGAAUCCGGGAGAGGAUGCGGAAUUCCAGGUGUAGCGGUGAAAUGCGUAGAUAUCUGGAGGAACACCGGUGGCGAAGGCGGCAUCCUGGACCGGCAUUGACGCUGAGGCGCGAAAGCCAGGGGAGCAAAGCAGG
rnacentral:rRNA from 1 species